AUUGAACGCUGGCGGAAUGCUUUACACAUGCAAGUCGAGCGGCAGCGCGGGGCAACCUGGCGGCGAGCGGCGAACGGGUGAGUAACACAUCGGAACGUGCCCAGACGUGGGGGAUAGCCCGGCGAAAGCCGGAUUAAUACCGCAUACGAUCUAAGGAUGAAAGCGGGGGACGUCGCAAGGGCCUCGCGCGUUUGGAGCGGCCGAUGGCAGAUUAGGUAGUUGGUGGGGUAAAGGCUUACCAAGCCUGCGAUCUGUAGCUGGUCUGAGAGGAUGAUCAGCCACACUGGGACUGAGACACGGCCCAGACUCCUACGGGAGGCAGCAGUGGGGGAAUUUUGGACAAUGGGCGCAAGCCUGAUCCAGCCAUUCCGCGUGCAGGACGAAGGCCUUCGGUUGUAACUAGCUUUGUACGGACGAAAGGUACUUCUCUAAUACAGAGGGCCCGAUGACGGUACCGUAAGAAUAAGACACCGGCUAACUACGUGCCAGCAG
rnacentral:rRNA from 1 species